rnacentral:rRNA from 1 species
CGGCAGGCCUAACACAUGCAAGUCGAACGGUAGCACAGAGAGCUUGCUCUUGGGUGACGAGUGGCGGACGGGUGAGUAAUGUCUGGGAAACUGCCCGAUGGAGGGGGAUAACUACUGGAAACGGUAGCUAAUACCGCAUAACGUCGCAAGACCAAAGUGGGGGACCUUCGGGCCUCACACCAUCGGAUGUGCCCAGAUGGGAUUAGCUAGUAGGUGGGGUAAUGGCUCACCUAGGCGACGAUCCCUAGCUGGUCUGAGAGGAUGACCAGCCACACUGGAACUGAGACACGGUCCAGACUCCUACGGGAGGCAGCAGUGGGGAAUAUUGCACAAUGGGCGCAAGCCUGAUGCAGCCAUGCCGCGUGUAUGAAGAAGGCCUUCGGGUUGUAAAGUACUUUCAGCGAGGAGGAAGGCAUUGUGGUUAAUAACCGCAGU